rnacentral:tRNA from 2 species
CAUUUAGUGACCGAAUUAAUGGUGUGAGUCUUUUAAAUUCAUUAUAGCACAGCUCUAAGUGU